rnacentral:rRNA from 1 species
CCUACGGGCGGCAGCAGUGGGGAAUAUUGGACAAUGGGGGCAACCCUGAUCCAGCCAUGCCGCGUGUGUGAAGAAGGCCCUCGGGUUGUAAAGCACUUUCAGUGAGGAAGAACGCCUGGUGGUUAAUACCCAUCAGGAAAGACAUCACUCACAGAAGAAGCACCGGCUAACUCCGUGCCAGCAGCCGCGGUAAUACGGAGGGUGCGAGCGUUAAUCGGAAUUACUGGGCGUAAAGCGCGCGUAGGUGGCUUGAUAAGCCGGUUGUGAAAGCCCCGGGCUCAACCUGGGAACGGCAUCCGGAACUGUCAAGCUAGAGUGCAGGAGAGGAUGGUAGAAUUCCCGGUGUAGCGGUGAAAUGCGUAGAGAUCGGGAGGAAUACCAGUGGCGAAGGCGGCCUUCUGGACUGACACUGACACUGAGGUGCGAAAGCGUGGGUAGCAAACAGGAUUAGAUACCCUGGUAGUC